CGGAGCGCAGCUCAAUUGGUAGAGCAGCCGAUUUAUAUUCGGUAAGUGCCAGAUAAGUCGCCGAUUGCGACUGCCUCGCCGCGUAAGCGGUUGGGAAAAUGCGAAGCGAAAUCGCAGAGCUGCGAAGCAGCAAAUUCGAGUCCCGACGCUCCGA
rnacentral:tRNA from 2 species